UACAGGGGGUGCAAACGUUGCUCGGAAUCAUUGGGCGUAAAGCGCGCGCAGGCGGCUAUCCAAGUCAGUGGUGAAAGCCCGGAGCUCAACUCCGGAACUGCCAUUGAAACUGUUUAGCUUGAGGACGAGAGAGGUGAGUGGAAUUCCCAGUGUAGAGGUGAAAUUCGUAGAUAUUGGGAAGAACACCGGUGGCGAAGGCGGCUCACUGGCUCGUAUCUGACGCUCAGGCGCGAUAGCGUGGGGAUCAAACAGG
rnacentral:rRNA from 1 species